rnacentral:rRNA from 1 species
UACGUAGGUGACCAGCGUUGUCCGGAUUUACUGGGCGUAAAGAGCGCGCAGGCGGUCGUUCAAGUCGAGUGUGAAAGCCCCCGGCUCAACUGGGGAGGGUCAUUCGAUACUGAUCGACUGGAAGGCAGGAGAGGGAAGCGGAAUUCCCGGUGUAGUGGUGAAAUGCGUAGAUAUCGGGAGGAACACCGGUGGCGAAGGCGGCGUUCUGGACUGCAACUGACACUGAGAAACGAAAGCCAGGGUAGCAAACGGG